CGAGUCGAGAGGGUUCGGCCCUCGGCUGACGGCUCAGUAACACGUGGAUAAUCUGCCCUUAGGUGGAGGAUAAUCUCGGGAAACUGAGGACAAUACUCCAUAGGUUUAGGAGGCUGGAAUGCAUCUAGACUGAAAGCUCCGGCGCCUAAGGAUGAGUCUGCGGACUAUCAGGUAGUAGUCAGGGUAAAGACCUGACUAGCCUACGACGGAUACGGGUUGUGAGAGCAAUAACCCGGAGACGAUAUCUGAGACACGAUAUCGGGCCCUACGGGGCGCAGCAGGCGCGAAAACUUCACACUGUGCGAAAGCACGAUGAGGGAAUCCCGAGUGCUUGCUCGUAAGAGUAAGCUGUUUCUCUGUCUAAAACGCAGAGAGAGUAAGAGCUGGGUAAGACGGGUGCCAGCCGCCGCGGUAAUACCUGCAGCUCAAGUGGUGGCCGCUAUUAUUGGGCCUAAAACGUCCGUAGCCGGUUUAGUAAAUGCCUGGGUAAAUCGUGUAGCUUAACUAUACGAAUUCCGGGUAGACUGCUAAACUUGAGACCGGGAGAAGCCAGAGGUACUCCUAGGGUAGAGGUGAAAUUCUGUAAUCCUAGGGGGACCACCAGUGGCGAAGGCGUCUAGCUAGAACGGGUCUGACGGUGAGGGACGAAACCCUGGGGCGCAAACCGGAUUAGAUACCCGGGUAGUCCAGGGCGUAAACGCUGCUUGCUUGAUG
rnacentral:rRNA from 1 species